UGAUGAACGAGAUAGAGUUCCGCCUG
rnacentral:piRNA from 1 species